GGAUUCUAAUGACCUGUUAAACGAGCACUGAUUACAUGUGAUAGUGCCUGUGGUCCAGUGGUAGAGCGUAGGCUAAUUAACGCAUUAAUUAGCAGAGCCGAUCUUACCAACGUCAUCAACAGUCAAGGCAGACAUCUUUCUUCAAGAAAUCUGCCCAAAAGGAAAAACACUGAAAUUGGUAAGUAAUGUUUAUGUGCAAUGUCGUUAACUAUAGUUCAUUUAUUGCAUCGGCACUCCUUCAAGAUUGGGGACAUCCGGACACCCACCACCAAGCUAUCAGACUUCAAGCCCUUCAUGCCUGCCCCAAGGGAAGCGACAACCCUCCCAACUAAAGUUCAAGAGGCAAUAGAGAAGAACAAUGAAAAACUGCAAAAACAAUCAAAGAUCACUCUGACAAAGCACCGAAGACAAGCGUCAGUAUCAGAACAAUAAAGAAG
rnacentral:lncRNA from 1 species